rnacentral:ncRNA from 1 species
AGAAGCAUGCAAUAAUAGCUUUUAGAAUGCCUCGGUGUUCCCCCAGAGAAUCUGGGAUGUAAAAGCCUUGGAUAAACCAUUCUAUGAGACGUUGCUUCU